AUGGAGCACCGCCGGCUGCGCCGGAGCUGGCGCUGCAGAGCGUGGCAGCGGUGCUACGAUGAAGCUCGACGGUGGCAGCUAAAAGUUUUGCGGGCCCGUCUGUUUGACAAAAUGUCGACACCGUUGUCCAGUUCCAAGAGGUCGCAGGGAGCCAGGGACCAACAGCCUCCCCGAACUGCUGCUCCAUCUCGUCAUGUCCUUCCUGCCGAUACCAGAAGUCGUUCGAACAAGCUUGCUGUCGUCAAGAUGGUGGAUCAGAAUAGAAUGAAGCAGUUUGGGGACCAGUUGCUACUCUUGCAUGAUGGCACUCUGCCCUUGGAUGAGGCUCGGAUCUUCAUCGAUUGUGAUUUUUAUGAAAAAUGUUGUACGUGGAUUCAUCAUGUCAUCAGGCAUAAAGCUCGUCUGGUUCAUGUACUGGUGACAUCGAAGUGA
rnacentral:rRNA from 1 species